rnacentral:tRNA from 1 species
AAUAAAAUAAGCUAAGGUUUAAGCUGUUGGGCUCAUACCCCAGACAUGAAUAAAAUUCUUUUAUUA